CAAAACAACAACACGCAGCGGACCAGCGAAGAAGCCGGCAAGUCCGCUAUUCACUCUUUCAUGGAAACUGGCAUUUCUUUUAUGUUUACGUCUUGGUAUGGCGACACCAACAAUUCGGGUAGUUAAUCCAGAUGCCCCUGCACAUCGUCAGCAGGCUCUACUUAUGGCAACCAAAGAGGCACGUUACUACCGGGUGAGAAGUAUGGUCUUCCCCAAACCUCCACAGGAGCUGCUCAGCCAAGUCACUGCCUUGACUCAUGCAGAGAAGCUUCUUCAAGCCGAGGGUAUCCACGUGCCUUCACGUCAGCAGUGCCUGGGAAAGCUGGUGGUGCCAUUUGGACAAUAUGAACAUGCACCGUUUCGGUGGCUCGUUGCAAACGACGUGGGAUAUAUGAAGUAGUGAGUGUACCAUAUAUUUAAUACCAUACUAUAGGCAGGUUUACUGAACUUCCAUUUACUGCACAUUUCCCCGUGUAAGGCUAUUAUCAGUAUAUCUUGUUCGUUGUAAACUUUCUUUAAGUGUGUAAUAUUCACGGAGAUAUUGCUGACAGUAUGUAUGAUUCCAGCAUACUUGACAGGCACAGAACAGAGGUGACAAAUCCACAAAGAAAGGGAGAGAUAGGGAACCAGUGGGUGAAGGAUUACCUCACAGAAUAUGCAGAAAGCUUCCCUCAAGUCUCCGUAGUCCUCGAGGCCAACAUUGACAGGUGCAUCUAUGGUCAGAAAGGGUUUGAAGAUCACACCUUUCAAGAGAUGUGGGAAUUAUAUUGUCAGUACAGCAGCCAAAAGGACAGACCUGAGAAGUUCAGUGAUGAGCAGAGGGAGGUCAUUCAGAAGGCACACAGUUCUGUGAAGAGGUGGUUGAACACACCAGUGACGCACAUCACAAGCACCCAAAUGAAGAGGUUCAGAAAAUAUAUAUAUGACAAGGAACAAGUAAGUGCUAUGGAGGAGAACAGCAGAACAGGACAGUAAAUGACUUAGUUAAAGAUAGUGAUAUGUGAUUAAUCUUGGCAACGUGUGGAUGUGCAUUUUUUCCAUCAAUCGCAGUACUCACAAUAAACUGUAUUGUUUAGCAACGGCUGACAAGUACCCCCAGGUGUGAUCCUUCGUUGUGGCCAGGUGAUGAUGCUGAACUGAUAGCUGCAUCCCAGUCUGUGGAAGGUGGUGAAAACGCUGUCUGGGGAAGGUCAAGGCUCAGCAGAAUGGUUCACCAGUAUCGGAAAUGAGCACUCACAAAUAGUUACAUUUGUGCUGACCUGCGAGGAGUCCUUUGACAAGCUGCAGCCAAUGUGCCGUGGAGUCAUGGAGAGGUUUCACUUGGCCAAUCAGCCUGUUCCCAAAAUUUUGUAUGUGGACCGUGGGUGUUGCCGUGCACAGGGACCAUCAGUAGUAGAGGCCUUGUUUCAGCCUUGGGUGGACAGUGGGAUGCUUGUGCAUCUGGACAUCUUUCACUGGAUCCACCGGUUUGAUGCAGCCAUCUAUACAGAGUCUCAUGCAAAGUACUCUGCAUUUAAGUCUGCAGUAGCUGGGGCGGUGCUGGCUUACAACCGCACAGACCUUGAGCUGCUUAUAAGGGCCGUCAGAGCAAAGAACCCAGUAAAAAUGCAGUCUGUGUCCGAUGAGGACGUUGUCUGCCUUUACAUUUCCAGGGAGCAGUUAAAACACCAUCUGCGCAGGGUCACACUUGGGGCUCAGGAAACGUUUUGGCUCAUCCAAUUGGUUAUCGAGGAGCUGAAAGGUCCAGCUGGGCUGGAUGAGAGGGGAGCGACUCUCUUCAAAACACCUGGGGCCAUUGAUGAGAUGUGGGCAGCACAGCAGCGACACCUGGAAUGCAUUCAGGACCCACCAGACAUGAGCAUGUAUAGGGUGGCUCAUACCACAACAAUAAACAACGUGGAUGUCCCCUAUUACAAGUGUCUGUGUGGAAGCAAUAGCCUGGAAGGGUUCCACAAAUUACUUCCUAACAUGAUUCCAGGUCCCCACUGCGCAGCACGUCCCUAUCAGCUUUACCUGAUAAGUGGUAUUGCAAGGUGGAACUCUGACAGGAGCUCAGAUGCUGUAUUUGUUGGCAAAGGAUGGCAUCACAGGAUUUACUCUGCACCGUUGAUCGAUCGCCUCAACACUCGCUGUCAGCAGCUGUUUGGAGAACCUGUAGAAGUAAACUUCCGUGGCCCAGCUGAUCUCACAUCAAAUGAAUUGCUCGGGCUGGAGUACUUGUUCAGCCAAAGCACUGGAGAGUCUGGAACUUUCUCUCUGGAGGGCAUCGUCAGUGAUGGACCUGGUCCUGAGGAGGAGGUGGUUCAGCCUGGGCAACCCAAACCAGAUGAUCGCGAUGAAGCAUACCAGAGUGACGAAGAGGCACGCGACACUGUAUUGGAUACUGUCCUUCCCCACAUUACACUCACCAAUGAUGAGACCUCCACAGUUCACCCUCCAGCCUUUGAAGAUGCCUGCAGUUCAAACCCCCUUCCUGGAUUUGAAAAGCUGGAAAUGUUCUGCUCUGUGCUUGUGGAGAUUAGCCUGAUAGAGGACAAGCUAUCACUUACCACCGAGCAGAGGAACAAGGUCCUCCAAACCUGGAAUAGCGUGGAGGAGCAUGACAAGCAGCCACAAAAGUUUAACCAGCUGUACAAGACCCACUGGGGCAACACCCUCUACUGCCGCACUAAAAGGGAUGACCUUGUUGAUGCUGCUCUUAUACAGAGAGUAAAGAUGGCGAAGCGCUAUGCACCCGCACAACAUGACAUCAGCGCUCAGAGCAACAGGCUAAUGUACACUCUGGUUAAACUUUUGUGGUUGCGCUCACCUCAGGGGUCUCGCAACAGUCCAGAGAAACUGUCUAUUUUAAAGGCCUACGAGCGAAUACAGCACCGGAUUCUGGUGGAAGAUGCUGUUCUCUGUAAAGCAGGCAUUCCUCUCCCUAAAAUUAACAUCAAGACUGUGCGGGACUUCAUUUGUCAGCAAGAAAGGAUCCUUAAUCUGCAUGCAACAAAACAUCCAUCGAUUUUGACCAAGAUCACCUCCAUCUCAUCUGCACACCUACCUCCAGCACCACACCAACCAGCAGUACUCCCUCCUCCAGACUACCCCCUGUUGAAAUAUGAGCCCACGCCCAGCACUGCAGGGACCAAGGUUUUGAAGGGAAGGAGAGACUUGCUGAUGCCAGUCUCCCAGCCUCAGCCACCUCUUCCACCUGUGCCACUACCAC
ensembl:lncRNA